GACGGGGGGGGCAAGCGUUGUUCGGAAUUACUGGGCGUAAAGAGCUCGUAGGUGGUUUGUCGCGUUGUUCGUGAAAACUCACAGCUUAACUGUGGGCGUGCGGGCGAUACGGGCAGACUGGAGUACUGCAGGGGAGACUGGAAUUCCUGGUGUAGCGGUGGAAUGCGCAGAUAUCAGGAGGAACACCGGUGGCGAAGGCGGGUCUCUGGGCAGUAACUGACGCUGAGGAGCGAAAGCGUGGGGAGCGAACAGG
rnacentral:rRNA from 1 species